AGAUUGAACGCUAGCGGGAUGCUUUACACAUGCAAGUCGAACGGCAGCGCGGACUUCGGUCUGGCGGCGAGUGGCGAACGGGUGAGUAAUAUAUCGGAACGUGCCCAGUAGCGGGGGAUAACUACGCGAAAGCGUGGCUAAUACCGCAUACGCCCUACGGGGGAAAGGGGGGAUCGCAAGACCUCUCACUAUUGGAGCGGCCGAUAUCAGAUUAGCUAGUUGGUGAGGUAAAGGCUCACCAAGGCGACGAUCUGUAGCUGGUUUGAGAGGACGACCAGCCACACUGGGACUGAGACACGGCCCAGACUCCUACGGGAGGCAGCAGUGGGAAUUUGGACAAUGGGGGAAACCUGAUCCAGCCAUCCGCGUGUGCGAUGAAGGCCUGGUGUAAG
rnacentral:rRNA from 1 species